rnacentral:lncRNA from 1 species
AUAACGAUAUUUUUUCAUUCUAUGUUCGGUGAGAAAGAAGGACGUGAAAGGACGAUGGAUGCUGCGGAAGACACUUCCUUGGAAGACGACGAGUCUCAUUUUCUCGCAGAAACGAGCGCGAAGGAUCGGUCGUGAUGGAUCUGUAGCGAAAGCCGGAGCGUUCGCGCGCGAUCACGGCUAAGUCAUCGAGGUGCAGCUGAGCAACGAUGAUUCAAGUGGAGGACAACGGCCGCUACAAGUUAGCGUGUCUAAUUAGUAAUCAACAAUUCGCGAUUAACAGAGAGAGAGAGAGAGAGCGAGAAUUUCGCGAAUGAUCGAUCGUCCGUGCCAUCACGCGCGAGCCUGUUAUUCCCCGCGUGCGCUCUCGCGGAAGAUCCGGGAUUUCCGGGAGCAUCGAGAUAAAUCGCGUUCCUCGCUGCUCUUCCCAUCUGCUGACCCUUUUGCUUGCGCACUCUCUCUCUCUCUCUUCGUUCUCAGCGAUCCGGAAAAAUUCGCGUGGCAAUAUGCGCCGCUGGCACGCUGCCAGAUCCCUCAUUUCUCGAACUAUCGCCGCGCGCGCGUUUGUCACCUCUUGGUGUGUGUCUUUCGGGAACUGGGUUAUCGCGUACACGUGCGUCCGCAACGCGCCACGAAGAAAAAUAUAGUCGACAGCCAGAGGAUUAGCGACUUCCCGGUCGGCCGAAAUAGAACCGAUGACCGCCGCGUGAUGAGCGGACAGACGGGGCGGAAAAGUGCACCGGAGAGUGGCUGUUCACGUUAGCGCGACUACGAUUCGACGUCCCUCAAGAUGCGCAAGACUCACUCGAUUCUCCGUUCUCGCAUUUUUGUCGUAUGAUUCAAAUAUCGCGUUACAUGGAGGAGUCAAGGGAGGCUGCCGGUUGAGACUGAAACAAUAUGCCUGUUCCUGUUUCUGGUGACCGUUUGAUAAUCUGCGGUUUCCGGCAGCACGCGAAAGUCGACCGCGAAGGUCUCCCUCGUCUAACGCAAGAGCGUACACGUAAUAUCAUAAAUGUACUCAUGCAAAUUUCGUUCUACCAAUCCCCCGAUCGCUCUACAAUCGAUUUCUCCCAAGAGAAAAUACUCGGCACAUUUAGCGACGUACUUAUUGCAGUUAUUUCAGCGGAAUGCAGUUCUGCCUGAAAGGCCUCAUCGCUAAUGAUUUUCGUACUAAAGUUUCCAGGUCAAGCCCGUCAACUCAACUAAUUGCAUUUCACUCUCGAGCGAGAGCUUUACAUGGUCGAGCGGCCAGCUAGCCGGCUAAAACAACAACGUCACGAUGGCUGAAGCAUGCCUCAUAAAGCAGACGCAAUCGAAUCGGAUUCAUUUGAGCGAUGGUAUUCGUGAUCCCGAGCGAACCUUCUCCUCAGCAUCUUCCACGUCGGAAAAUAGACUUUGGGAUGGCGAAGGUAAACCGAGGGAUUGAGCCAAGCUGCUCCGACAAUUUUGACUGCAGCCGAAGUAAUGACGGAGAGUGCACGCGUCCUUGAUCGUGACCCGGGCAAGGUCACGUCCAUCGUCCACAUCUAAAAUUUAGACCGCGGUUAAUGAAUGCACGAGCAAGCACGAGAGAGCCAGUCCAUGCCAAGAUGAUGAAGAUGAAAUGGAGAGCAAACAACCCUUUCGACUUUGAUCGCCUUGUGCCACGUCGGUGAAGGAAUCUUAAGAUUGAACCCAAAACUUUGGAUGGAAUGAUUCCUCAGCGAGAGAGAACGACAGUUCAGGUCCAUCGAGCGAAAAGAAACAGGACCGAACGAUCUUUUUCUCGCCUGAUUCGAGAUUCACAGCUCGUCCACUUUGCAUUUAGUAACGUUUAUGUAAGACUUAGUUUUUGUACAAUUGUGUAAAAGAUCUUUUUGCAAGUGAUGCAUUAUUCAUACGUCCUGAAGAAAACGGCUAUGUCGCUAUAGUCGACAAUUUAUUUUAGUUAGUAAUGCUUUUUUUAUAUUACAGAAUUCGAAAGACCCAACGAUAUAUGCCAAGGGUUACAUCCAAGCUACCGCCGUCUCCGAUCCUGACAGGAAUGAUUCGUCACAGCCGGCCUCUCGGUAGGAAUUCCCGAAGGAUCCGGCGAGUAAAUAAGGGACUACUUCUCUUCUUUGUUCCCUAAAGACGCGUGUACGCGAGAACCCCAAGUUCCCUCAAAAAUUCACGGGGGAUUUCAGGCGGAAAAUCCACGGUCCACUUUUGCCUUGCGCGUCGCUUCAAUAAUUCUCAUCUUUUUCUCCGUCUAUUACUCAUUUAUGUAAUGACGAUCUAUUAUAUUCAGUCUUCCAAUA